rnacentral:lncRNA from 1 species
UAUAAAAAGAUCAUAAUCAAAUAAAAGUACCAGUGACAAUUUGCACUUGAAACUGUGAGCCAUCCUUUCCGAACCUAAAACCCCGAAAACAAGAUAAUCAUGAUGGUCACAUAUAAGAGCAAUCUAACAGUAUAUUGUGAAUAUUAACCACCUCAUGAUCCUCGCAGUAAAGAAAGACGACCCUCCCCUAAACCUUCCUCCUUGAUUACAAGAUCGUAACGCACCAACGACCUUAUGCCACAGGGACUUGAUUGCUCUUGUGUCAUCUACAUAUGGCCAGCCUCUGAUAAGACUCGUAUAUAAAUAUCCUCGUUGUCCCCGCCUUUAAUCUAUUCUGGCUUCCUUCUCUAUAUACGGUACUACCAUCACCCAUUAGCUCACUCUCAUGGUGUUUCUUAAUUCUUACCCAAGUUUGUGUAAGCCUCUCUCUCGUUCUAUCUCCCUGUAGUUAAUUGGAGGUUAUAACCUUCAGUGUACAUAUCGUUGUAUAUAGAAAGUCCAAGCUAAACCCUUUUGGAGAAUUCAUUUCCUUGUAUAGAUAUAUAGGAAUUAGGUGGGAGGACAAGAAGGUAGGGUGGAUUGAUUGAUUUAGGGAGUUGUCAAAGUACAACGUCAGAUGCAGAGUUUGGUUCUGACACGACCCACCCCAAAUUUCACCCUGAAACCCGGAGUAAGUCGUGCGGGGACCACCUCCAAGAAAAAUUUACCGAAAAGAUUGGUAAAACCUCCCUUGAAAAUGGACAACCCUAACCCGGAAAUUUCAAAUUUACACUAUUAUUACCACAUGUCCAAACAACACAUAAUUAUCCAGAUAAUAACCGCAAACAUUAUCUUCAGAAAUUCUAAACAUAAAGUCAACCGACCGAGCACACCACCGAAAAUAAUAUACAUUAAUCCCACAGUAUUCAGAGCUACUAGGAAUUAGCGGAAGCAAGAAGACACGAGUAGGUUAAACAGGUAACCUACUGAGGAAAACUAGCGGAAAAACGGGUGACUAUGCCUCGUCUCCUACUAGAUCCAACCCGAACUCUGCAGACUGGGCAUUUUAAAACGAAUGGCCUAGGGGAAAAACAUUUAAUAACAUUAGAGUGAGUGGACAAAAAUAAAUUAAUAAGAAAAAUAUUUAUGUUUCCCCAAAUCCAUUUCUAAGGAAAAAUCGAAUGAAUGCCGCAAGCGAUAAACCUUUUAUCUCAUAAAAUAUCGAGCCUCUCAGACUCUAUAAUAUAUGUAUGUAUUUAUACACGUCCAUACUCUCUAUAUAAAUUCAUGUGUCUAUAUAGGGCUACUAUGCUCGCGUCCAAUGCUCACGUCACGUCUUAAUGCAGUGCUACACUACGCCAUUAAGGUGGACAGACGGGUGUAUAAAUAUGUACGUGUCCAUACCCCCUAUGUGAAUUAAACACUCAUAUAGGGCUACUACGCUCAUGUCCAACGCUCACGUCACACCAUAAUGCGGCUAUAUGCUAUGCCAUUAAAGUGGACAAACACAUAUGGCUAGCUAGCAUUUAUAUACAUACUCUCCUCAAUAUACAUAUUUAUACUCACCGAAAAAUCCCAUUUUUUGGUAACUCUCCAAGAAAAAUAAAAGCGUCAAAAUUAAAUGACGUCAAAACUCUAACAAUUUAAAUGUUCGACCAUGAACCAUAGCAUGCAUAUUAUUUAAAACAAAAGUCCACUCACAAAUUUGGCCUAAACCUGAUGUCGAUCUGGAGCCUCGUCUGCUCGAGCCUCCUCACGUCCUGUUCCAAAUAUAAUAUUAAUUUCCCACUAAAAAUCCAAUAAUUAAACAAAAUGAGCAAAAUUAAACGUGAGCCUCCCGCACACUCAUCAUUUCCCAUCUACGCCAUUCUUAACUCAAAAUGGCUCAACCUUCACCGAACAUACCGCAGCCGUAAAUACAACCUCCCCCAAAAUACGACUUAAAUCCUACGGCCGGAUUCUACAUUAAUUAACCGCCAAAAAUACUAAACUUCAGAAAAUCACAAACCUAUCCAAAACUCAUCCAAAAAUUCCAUAAUUCACUUCAAUAAACUUCCCUUAAUAUUCCACAUUUAAAAACAUUAAAAUCUCCCAAACAGCUCCGGCGCCGGCAGCGGCGGCCGGAGGCUGAUUCCGGCGACCUCCAAAUCCUAUGAAAUUUUGACAGCAUAAUCCUCUUAUCAUGCUCUACAACUUUCAUAACUAGCACAAACCCAAAUCCAAGCCUAGCUAGGGUAAUCGACUAAAAACAUCCUGAAAGCCCUAGAAAUUUCAACUCCACAUUUCUCCUUACCAAGCUCAAGAAGGAGUGAGCCCUUUGGAGGGGUUGCUACACGGGAGGAGGGCUACAAAACGAGCCAAGGAUCGCCGGCUGUGGUGGCCGGAGGAGGGAGUUCCGGCGAAAAGCUUCCGGCGUCUCCGGCAAGUUUCUCCUCUUCCGGCGGGCUAAUGGCUCGAGGGCUAGGCCGGGGAGGGAGAGGAGGAUGGGGGUCCGAAUUGGGGUGGAGUGGUGGCUGGUGGCUGGCCGGACGGCAGCAGCUAGGGCUGGAGAAGAACCGGAAACGGGAAAAGUCGGGAGAUGGAAAAACCGAGGAAGAGAAAAGAGAAGAAGAAGAGAGAAAAAAGAGAGGGCUGGGCUUUUACCACCCCUUGGCCCGGUCCACACUUUUAUGCAACCCAAAUCCAAAAAAAUAAUACCCGAAUAAAAAUUACCUUUUACUAGCUAAAAUUUACCAUUUUUACCGUCGUCGUAUUUUCUUCCUACGAAUAAUCCUCCGCACAUAAUUGUCCCCGAAACCCUUUUAGGGACCAAUUAAACUAUCAACUCAAUGAUGGAAGACGGUAAAAUUUUAUUAUAAUCAAGCUAGUAAAUAAGGUAAAAAUUUAAAGGUCGGGAUGUGACAAUUCUCCCCUCCUUAUAAAAAAUUUCGUCCUCGAAAUUUACAUACCUUUCAUCCGAAGAGAUAGGGAUACUGCUGCAUCAUUUGCUCAUCUGAUUCCCAAGUAGCUUCUUCUACUUGAUGACUCCUCCAAAGCACCUUGACAAGCGGGAUUGUCUUGUUCCUAAGCACUUGCUCCUUUCAGUCGAGAAUCUGAACCGGUUCCUCUUCAUAGGACAAAUCUCUCGUCAAACUGAUCGGCUGCUCUUGCAGCACAUGAGAGGGAUCGGCAAUAUACUUGCGAAGCAUGAAUACAUGAAACACAUUAUGUAUCCUGGAUAACUCUGGAGGCAAGGCUAAUCGAUAAGCAAGUGAGCCAACUCGCUCUAUUAUCUCAUAAGGGCCAAUAUACCUCGGACUAAGCUUCCCACGCUUACCGAAACGUACUACCUCUUUCCAAGGAGAUAGUUUCAAGAACACCCAAUCACCCACUUGAAACUCAAGGACUCUCCUACGGACAUCUGCAUAACUCUUCUGCCUACUUUGAGCGGCCUUGAGUCUAUCUCUGACCACUUUAAUCUUCUCAUUUGUAACAUGAAUCAACUCUGGGCCACAAAGCUCUUUUUCCCUUACUUCAUUCCAACACAAAGGCGUACGACACUGCCUCCCAUAAAGAGUCUCAAAAGGAGCCAUACAAAUGCUAGAAUGAUAGCUAUUAUUAUAGGCAAAUUCCAUCAAAGACAGGUUUUUAUCCCAACUCCCUCUGAACUGCAAGGCACAAACCCUCAACAUAUCCUCCAAAGUCUGAAUAGUCCUCUCGGACUGCCCAUCAGUUUGAGGAUGAAAAGCAGUGCUGAAGAGUAAUUGGGUACCUAAGGCUGCCUGAAGAGCUCCCCAGAAUUUAGAAGCAAAUCUAGGAUCCCGAUCCGACACUAUUGAUUCAGGAACACCAUGAAGCCUCACAAUUUCAUUCACAUAAAGCUCCGCCAAUUUAUCUAAUUUAUACUUCUUUCCCACUGGCAAGACAUGUGCAAACUUGGUGAGUCGAUCCACAAUCACCCAAAUACCAUCAUGCCCUUCACGGGUACGAGGUAAACUGAAAACAAAAUCCAUGGUGAUGUGGUCCCACUUCCACACUGGAAUAGGCAACGGCUUAAGCAAUCCAGAAGGCUUCUGCCUUUCCGCCUUUACUUGCUGACAAAUCAGACAUCUACUCACAUAAGCUGCAAUUUCCCUCUUCAUGUUUGGCCACCAAUAAUAAUCCUUCAAAAUUCGAUACAUUUUUGUGCUACCUGAAUGAGCAGCAUAAGUGGAACUAUGAGCUUCCUCCAUAAUCUCACUCUUCAACUCUUCAUUCCUUUUUGGAACACAAAGCUGAUUCUUAAACAAUAAAGUCUUAUCCCUUCUAACUGAAAAAUGAUCGGCGGCGGCUCCAUUCAAAGCUCUUUCUAUCAACCGAACUAUGGAAGGAUCAUUAUACUGUGCAUCCUGCACUCUAUCAAUCAAAACUAGCCUCACAUGAAAACUAGCUACCAAAGCACCAACCUCAUCUAUUGCUAAAUCCACCCAUGUAGCUCGCAACUCACAAAGAAGCGGAACACAAACCAUCUUUAUAUGAGAUAAAGAUAUGGAGGGAUUUCGACUAAGAGCAUCAGCUACCACAUUAGCUUUUCCAGGAUGAUACUCAAUAGUGCAAUCAUAAUCAUUGAUUAACUCCAUCCACCUUCUCUGUCUCAUAUUUAGCUCUCUUUGGGUGAAUAUAUACCGAAGACUCUUGUGAUCGGUAAAAAUCUGACACUUGGCUCCAUAAAGAUAGUGUCUCCACAACUUGAGAGCAAAAACUACCGCUGCAAGCUCCAGAUCAUGAGUAGGAUAAUUCCCCUCAUGCGGCUUCAAUUGCCUAGAAGCGUAGGCAAUAACUUGAUCAUGCUGCAUCAAAACUCCACCUAGACCACGUCUAGAAGCAUCACAAUAGACUACAUACUCUCCACUAUCAUCCGGAAGUGCCAAAACAGGGGCACUUGUUAAGCAAUUCUUCAAUUCUUGGAAACUUUGCUCACAUUGAUCUGACCAAUCAAACUUAACUCCUUUCCUGGUCAAUCUUGUAAGAGGAGCAGCAAUCUUUGAAAAAUCUUUCACAAAGCGCCGAUAAUAACCUGCUAAUCCCAAGAAACUACGAAUCUCCGCACAGUGGUGGGUCUUCUCCAAUUUGACACCGCUUCCACCUUUUGGGGAUCCACACUAACUCCUUCUACCGAAACCACAUGACCCAAGAACCCCACUUGAUCUAGCCAAAACUCACACUUGUUGAACUUAGCAUAUAACUACGAAUUUUUCAAAGUCCGCAAUAUUAUUCUUAGAUGCUUGGCAUGCUCCUUCUCACUUCUUGAGUAAACCAAGAUGUCAUCUAUGAAUACGAUCACGAAACAAUCAAGAUAUGGACUAAACACCCUAUUCAUGAGAUCCAUAAACGCCGCGGGUGCAUUAGUAAGUCCAAAUGGCAUCACCACAAACUCAUAAUGACCAUAUCGUGACCGAAAAGCAGUCUUGGUUAUGUCCCACUCUCGGAUCUGCAACUGAUGAUAACCCGAUCUCAAAUCAAUCUUAGAGAAAACAGAGGCACCCAUCAACUGAUCAAAUAAAUCAUCGAUCCGAGGCAACAGAUAUUUAUUCUUCAUUGUGACCUGAUUCAACUUUCUAUUAUCAACGCAUAGUCUCAUGGUGCCAUCUUUCUUCUUAAUGAACAACACCGGAGCACCCCAUGGAGACAUGCUAGGCCGAAUAAAACCCUUGUCUACCAACUCCUGCAAUUGAGUCUUCAACUCUUUCAAUUCCGCUGGAGCCAUUCUGUAAGGUGCUUGAGAGAUAGGCAUAGUUCCGGGAAGUAAUUCUAUGGAGAAGUCUAUCUCCCUUGCAGGAGGUAAACCACGCAACUCUUCAGGAAAAACAUCCGGGAACUCCCUUACAAUAGGAAUAUCUUCUAUUUCCAAGACUCUCAUACUUGUAUCCACCAUGUGAGCUAAAUAUGCCUGACAGCCUUUACUCAACAAUUUCCUUGCAGCAACAACGGAAAUUAUGCAACUAGAAAUAACAUCUCUUUCCCCUUAGAAAGCAACCUCAAAACCAUCUGGACUUCGAAGCACCACUAAUUUCUGAAAACAAUCUACCAUAGCUCUAUAUGCUUCCAAAAAGUCCAUUCCCAAGAUCACAUCAAACUCCACUAUAUCUAAAGGAAUUAAAUCAGCCUCGAAAUUAACUCCUUCCACUAAAACUUCACAACCACUAAACACUCAAUUUAUUCUCAUCACCUCACCGGAGGGUAGAGACACAUGCCACUCGCCUGGAAGAGACGAUGAUGGCACAUUGGCAUGGAGGGCAAAUCUACUAGACAUGAAUGAAUGCGUGGCUCCGGGAUCAAUUAAAGUAAAUGCAGGCUGACCAAAAAUUAAUAACGUACCAAUGAUGACAUCUGGAGAGGUACGACCCUCCUGCUGGGUCAUAGCAUGCAGUCUAGCGCGAGUCAUGGGACGUCCACGCUGACCACCGCCCCGCUGAGAGCCACCUCUGACCGAUGCACUGCCCUGGCACCACUACUGGAGCCUCCAGCUGAAGACUGAUCAACUAGCUGAGUAGGGGUGGGAGUGGUCCUCUGAGCCAAUAAUGGACACUCUCUCCGGAAGUGGUCCUGACUGCCACACUCAAAGCAUCCAGAAUAUUGCUGCUGUCCAAAUGAAAAAGUCUGACUACCAGAUGUCCCACCCUGAAAGCUGCCACUAGAACCAUACUGUCCAGCUUGUGGUCUACCCAACUGACUCCUAGCAGGUCUCCUGUGACGUCCUCUAACCCUGAACCGAGAAUUAGAACCUGAUCCCCCACUACUGCCACUACCAGCUGAAGAACCAGAAGCGGAUGAUGAAGCAACUUUCUUGGAUGGACCCUGACUGGGGCCACCGAAAUCUCGUGGCCGAGCACUAUAAAUCCUCAUAGACUCAAUGGCCAUGGCUGCAUGAACAGCAUAAAGAAAAGUCGGGUAAUAAACACCCGUCAUCUUAUCUGCAAACACUCCACCAAGUGCCCCAAUGAACAUCUCCAUCCUGGUCAUCUCAUCAGGAACCAGAUAUGACACAUGGUAGCUCAAGGAAGUGAACCUCUGCUCAAACUCUAUGACACCUUCAUCAUCCCUCUUCUUCAUAUUCAGGAAAUCCGACUAAAUUCUGUUGCGGUGGGCAGGACUGAAAUACUGCCCCAAGAAAAGCGUCUUAAUCUACUCCCAAGACAUAUUCUGAGCAUCCUCAACAAACCUGCUAGCGAGCGACCACCAGUGAUGUGCUGAAUCGUCUAGGAAAGUCACUGCCAUCUUCACCUUCCUUUCUUCUGACAAAUCUGUGCUUGCAAAAGCCUUUUCCAUUUUGUCUACCCAAGUAUAAACAUCAAGGGGUCCCUUGGCACCCUUGAACUCUCUUGCUCCAGCCUCAUAAACUUCUCUCCUCUUCACUGUAUGAGGGUGUGGAGCUCGAUUUAUAACAUCCCUUAGCAUAUUCCCAAGAUCAUCAACUAAUCCCCUGACCUCAUUGCCAUCAUUGGCAUUGGUCGAAGUAGCUACACGAGGUUGGCGUGGGCGCCUAGGAGGCAUAGUACAUGAGGAAGAAGAUAUUUAGUAGUCCAUAAAUAAGACUAACACAACUAUCACACAUACCCAAUAACACAUAGCAUCAAAAGCAUAAAAUGCCGAUGAAUCCGCCGCAGUCGGAUCAUCACUCUAUAGACACUACGUGCUACUUAAGCAAAUAUGAUAAUGACAAGGAAGCAGGAAAAGGAAACCUAAAGCUCUGAUACCAACUGACACGACCCACCCCAAAUUUCACCCUGAAACCCGGAGUAAGUCGUGCGAGGACCACCUCCAAGGAAAAUUUACAGAAAAGAUUGGUAAAACCUCCCUUGAAAAUGGACAACCCUAACCCGGAAAUUUCAAAUUUACACUAUUAUUACCACAUGUCCAAACAACACAUAAUUAUCCAGAUAAUAACCGCAAACAUUAAUUUCCCACUAAAAAUCCAAUAAUUAAACAAAAUAGGCAAAAUUAAACGUGAGCCUCCCGCACACUCAUCAUUGCCCAUCUACGCCAUUCUUAACUCAAAAUGGCUUAACCUUCACCUAACAUACCGCAGCCGUAAAUACAACCUUCCCCAAAAUACGACUUAAAUCCUACGGCCGGAUUCUACAUUAAUUAACCGCCAAAAAUACUAAACUUCGGAAAAUCACAAACCUAUCCAAAACUCAUCCAAAAAUUCCAUAAUUUACUUCAAUAAACUCCCCUUAAUAUUCCACAUUUAAAAACAUUAAAAUCUCCCAAACAACUCCGGCGCCGGCAGCGGCGGCCAAAGGCCGAUUCCGGCGACCUCCAAAUCCUAUGAAAUUUUGACAGCAUAAUCCUCUUAUCAUGCUCUACAACUUUCCUAACUAGCACAAACCCAAAAUCCAAGCCUAGCUAGGGUAAUCGACUAAAAACAUCCUAAAAGCCCUAGAAAUUUUAACUCCACAUUUCUCCUUACCUAGCUCAAGAGGGAGUGAGCCCUUUGGAGGGGUUGCUGCACGGGAGGAGGGCUACAAAACGAGCCAAGGAUCACCGGCUGUGGUGGCCGGAGGAGGGAGUUCCGGGGAAAAGCUUCCCGGUGUCUCCGGCGAGUUUUCUCCUCUUCCGGCGGGCUAACGGCUCGAGGGCUAGGCCGGUAGGGAGAGGAGGUGAUGGGGGUCCGAACUGGGGUGGAGUGGUGGCUGGUGGCUGGCCGGACGGCGGCAACUGGGGCUGGAGAAGAACCGGAAACGGGAGAAGUCGGGAGAGGGAAAAACCGGGGAAGAGAAAAGAGAAGAAGAAGAGAGAAAAAAGAGAGGGCUGGGCUUUUACCACCCCUUGGCCCGGUCCACACUCUUAUGCAACCCAAAUCCAAAAAAUAAUACCCGAAUAAAAAUUACCUUUUACUAGCUAAAAUUUACCAUUUUUACCGUCGUCGUAUUUUCCUCCUACGAAUAAUCCUCCCCACAUAAUCGUCUCCGAAACCCCUCUAGGGACCAAUUAAACUAUUAACUGAAUGACGGAGACGGUAAAAUUCUUAUUAUAAUCAAGCUAGUAAAUAAGGUAAAAAUUUAAGGGUCGGGAUAUGACAGGUUCAUUUUUUUUUGUUUGUUGUUUGUUGUUUGUUGUUUUGCUGUUCUUGAGUUUGUUCAGAACUUUCAGGGAUUUUCCGGGAUGGAUUUUGUUUUUGGGGUUUUUUUGUACGGUCGUUUUUCGCCGGUUUUUAUAUUGGGGUUGUGUCUCAUGUUUGGGUUUGGGUUG